AAUAGAUACCCAGGUAGUCCACGCCGUAAACGAUGAGUGCUAAGUGUUAGGGGGGUUUCCGCCCCUUAGUGCUGCAGCUAACGCAUUAAGCACUCCGCCUGGGGAGUACGGUCGCAAGACUGAAACUCAAAGGAAUUGACGGGGGCCCGCACAAGCGGUGGAGCAUGUGGUUUAAUUCGAAGCAACGCGAAGAACCUUACCAGGUCUUGACAUCCCACUGACCGCUAUGGAGACAUAGUUUUCCCUUCGGGGACAGUGGUGACAGGUGGUGCAUGGUUGUCGUCAGCUCGUGUCGUGAGAUGUUGGGUUAAGUCCCGCAACGAGCGCAACCCUUGAUCUUAGUUGCCAUCAUUUAGUUGGGCACUCUAAGGUGACUGCCGGUGACAAACCGGAGGAAGGUGGGGAUGACGUCAAAUCAUCAUGCCCCUUAUGACCUGGGCUACACACGUGCUACAAGUGAACGGUACAAACGGUUGCCAACCGCGAGGGGGGAGCUAAAUCCGGAUAAAAACGUCGUUCUCGAAGUUCGGAUUGUAGGCUGCAACUCGCCUAAC
rnacentral:rRNA from 1 species